AUUGAACGCUGGCGGCAGGCUUAACACAUGCAAGUCGAACGAGUGGCGGACGGGUGAGUAAUGUUUGGGAAUCUACCUUAUGGAGGGGGAUAACUACUGGAAACUGUAGCUAAUACCGCAUACCAUCGGAUGAGCCCAAAUGGGAUUAGCUAGUUGGUGGGGUAAAGGCUCACCAAGCCGACGAGCUCUAGCUGGUCUGAGAGGAUGACCAGCCACACUGUGACUGAGACACGGCCCAGACUCCUACGGGAGGCAGCAGUGGGGAAUAUUGCGCAAUGGGGGCAACCCUGAUACAGCCAUGCCGCGUGAAUGAAGAAGGCCUUCGGGUUGUAAAGUUCUUUCAGUGGGGAGGCGUUACCUGCAGAAGAAGCACCGGCUAACUCCGUGCCAGCAGCCGCGGUAAUAC
rnacentral:rRNA from 1 species